rnacentral:rRNA from 1 species
GCCUAGCUUGCUAGGUGGAUUAGUGGCGCACGGGUGAGUAAUAUAUAGAUAACGUGCCUCUUAGUCUGGGAUAGCCAUUGGAAACGAUGAUUAAUACUAGAUACUCCUUCUAACUCUAAUGUUAGUCGGGAAAGUUUUUCGCUAAGAGAUCGGUCUAUAUCCCAUCAGCUAGUUGGUAGUGUAAGAGACUACCAAGGCAAUGACGGGUAGCGGGUUUGAGAGGAUGAUCCGCCACACUGGUACUGAGACACGGGCCAGACUCCUACGGGAGGCAGCAGUGAGGAAUAUUGCACAAUGGAGGAAACUCUGAUGCAGCAACGCCGCGUGGAGGAUGACGCAUUUCGGUGUGUAAACUCCUUUUAUAUGUCAAGAAAAUGACGGUAGCAUAUGAAUAAGCACCGGCUAACUCCGUGCCAGCAGCCGCGGUAAUACGGAGGGUGCAAGCGUUAUUCGGAAUCACUGGGCGUAAAGGACGCGUAGGCGGGAUGCCAAGUCUGAUGUGAAAU